rnacentral:rRNA from 1 species
CCUACGGGAGGCAGCAGUGGGGAAUAUUGGGCAAUGGGCGCAAGCCUGACCCAGCCACGCCGCGUGAAGGAAGAAGGCCUUCGGGUUUUAAACUUCCUUUGACAGGGAAGAGCAGAAGACGGUACCUGUCGAAUCAGCCACGGCUAACUACGUGCCAGCAGCCGCCGUAAUACGUAGGUGGGAGGCGGUGUCCGGAUUUACUGGGUGUAAAGGGCGUGUAGCGGGGCUGACAAGUCAGAUGUGAAAUCCGGGGGCUCAACCCCCGUACUGCAUUUGAAACUGUUGGUCUUGAGUAUCGGAGAGGCAGGCGGAAUGCCUAGUGUAGCGGUGAAAUGCGUAGAUAUUAGGAGGAACACCAGUGGCGAAGGCGGCCUGCUGGACGACAACUGACGGUGAGGCGCGAAAGCGUGGGGAACAAACAGGAUUAGAUACCCGAGUAGUC